UUCGUAGGCGGCGCGGAAAGUAGGGUGUGAAAGCCCUCGGCUCAACCGAGGAAUUGCGCCCUAAACUGUCGCGCUCGAGGAACCUAGAGGUGAGCAGAACUGAUGGUGGAGCGGUGAAAUGCGUUGAUAUCAUCAGGAAUACCGGAGGCGAAGGCGGCUCACUGGGGGUUAUCUGACGCUGAGGAACGAAAGCCAGGGAGCAAACG
rnacentral:rRNA from 1 species